UAAAAGUAAGGCUGUUUUGGAAGCCCUAAUUCUUUGGUGAUUUGAAACCCUAAUUUUUAACCAAUUGGGAUUUGACAUCUUUGUGUAUCAUCCAAUAUAAUGGUGACACACCUAGGUUUUCAUUCAUUCUAGGUUUACAUGUUUACAUGGCUUACUAGAAGGUUUGAUGUCUAUCAUACUGAUAAAGUGACAAGUGGUAAACUAGAAACAUGCAUUGGGGCCAGAAGGAUAUAUAUUUCUUUUUUCUUAAUUUUUUUUCAUUUGAGAAGUUUCUUUCUCUCUCUUCUCUCUUUCUCAUACGCGCUCUCUCUCUCUUUUCUCACCAUCUAAUGUUGUUCAUGAUGAACAACAAGAACACCAUGCAUGUUCAUCCCCAUCCCAGAUUCCGGCGAGCAACCACCGUCGCCGGAAAGUCCAAUCACUUCCAUUUUUUUUCCUCAACAGUUCUUAAUAUCUCUCUGCUCUCACCUUCUCUUUCUUCAUCACCGCAUCCACCACAACCUCCACCACCACCUACAAAUCAAUCUCCGAAUCAGAACGUCCUAUCCGCUUCCGGUGAUGCCGCCAUCAUCAAAAUCAAGUUAUUCCUCCUCUCAGACACAGGUAGUUGAAGUUUCAACUUCCAAAAAACUUGAAGAUAUUGUUCCUUCUUCUCCUAACAGUGAUGUUCCUCGUGUCAGGAACUCUUGCUUUGGCAAUUAUUGUCACUGCCUUCACUUUACAGGUUAGAAGCUCAUCAAAAUGACAUUGAACUUGAAGAGUGGUGACAAGGCUAUGAUUUUUUGUUUUGUGGAGUUUAUUGAACCCAAAUGCGCUCUCACCGCCAUGGAAGCUCUGCAAGGAUAUAAUGAGGCUGGCCUAGAAAAACCUUAUACAUUCAAGGCUGAUGAGAGGAAUGGAAGAUAGAAAUAAUUCUCAUAUGUUGAAUAGUGAUUGUGUGUACUUCUAACUUAAGUACCAAAUUGAAGAGAAAUAAUUACAAAUUCUCAGUGGUGACCACAAGUACUACUUCACAUUUUCUCAAAAACUUUCCAUAUUGUCAAGGUAUGGUUCAUCACCAAAUGAUUUUGAAGGAGUGUCUGCCCAUUUUGAUGUUCCUUUUGUUCAAGCUCCCUCAUUUCCUACACUUUCCAUUAAUGUGAUGAAUCUUUUGAAUUCAGGUAGAAACUGAGGAUGAGGUAGUACUAAGUUGAAAGUUGAAACUAAUAGAAUAGCAUCCAUCUAUAACAUCACCAAUGAUGAUGUAGCUAUGUGUCAGUUUUUUUUUUGCAAUUAUUGAUCAUGAAAAGAAGAGGACAUUUGUUUUGCGUAAAGAUGGCCUUCCUGAUGCUGGUCAGUAUUAUCUUAUCUUCAUCAAUUUGUUUUUCAUAGAUGUGUAAAUAUACAAAAGAGAUGUAUGAUAUGCAAUUCAUAAAUAAUAUAUAUCACUUAUAACUAUUGGGUUUUGGUUUUGGACACAACAAUAUGAUAGAUAGAGAAGUGAAAACAAUGAAUUGCACAUAUCCAAUGUUUAAGUGAAGAGAUUAUGAAUUCAACUUUCCCAGUUAUAUCACACAAACUCCUAACAUUUGGUUUUACUAAUUUUUAAAGUACAUGUACAUAUAUUUUGGUAAAGAGACGGUAGAAAUAUGCAGUCGUCACACACUCGUGUUUUUUUCAGAAACAAGAGAAUAUCGAUAAUGUUACACGAAAAAAGAAUAUAGAGAUGAAAAUUUUAUCAGCUACAAGUUGUAAUUAUCCAGCCCCAAAUCUCCCAAGACAUCAUUAGCAGCUUCCUUAUAGUUGGCAUGUGUUUGCUUUGCCUUCCUUAUGUAUUUCUCAAUUCCAUUCUUAAGCUGAAUAGUUCUGCACAAAAGAAAUUGUGUAAGCAGACAUCAUUAAGCUAGAAUACAAGGAUUGGGUGUGAUAACUAUUAGUUCUAAAAUGACAGUGUAUUAGGCAUUUUUAAGUAGAAUGACAAUUUCAACUUGAUAUGCAUUAUUUUGUGUAUUUUAUAUUUGUUGUUAGUUCGUUACUUAAGAUGAGUACUUUUUUGCAAUUUUGUAAUUUUGAAAAUAUUGACAUGAUUUUGGAACUUGGAUAGAAAUGCCAACAAGUUCUUCAUAUUAAGCAAUCAAUUAGUGUUGUCCGCAAACUGGCGUGAUCAUCCCUUUUGAAUUAUUUUGAGUGGUGUUCUUUCAUAUAUAUGUCCAUCGUUUAUUGAAAUUGUUGAUCAUUUUGGAUUUUAUAUACGGCAAUUUCAGUUUGGUUUCAUAUUUAAGGUUUUGAUUGGUUUUCUUUUGUUCUAUUAACCGAUUGGUGCUUAUGGAAAAACCACUUGAGAGUUUGUUUCGAAAGAUUAAUUAAUUAUUCUUUUUGUUUGAGGUUGAUCUUGGAUAGAAUCAACUCUCGUGCAGCAGACUAUGUAAUGUAUAUGCCAUCAUGAUAUAGAUUGUAUGAUAAUUACUUUUGAUAUAGUUUUGGUUUGUGUUUUUUGUUCAACUUAUGGUUUAUAAUGGUUCUUGGUUUGUGAGCUUAAACCUCUCUGCUUCUUAGAUAAUGAGAUUGGUGCUUGUAAGUUUUGUGAUUUGGUUAUUGGUUUUCAUUGCCAUCUGGAAAAUGGAGGCAGUGAUAGGGAUAUCACUGUAGCAAAGAAUUAACUGCUCUUCAUAUUCUUAUAGUUUAUGGUGAGAGAUUUCAAUGGACAAUGAUUAACUGCUCUUCAAAUUCAGUCUUAUAAUAUUUACAUUGUUACUUAGGCCUUUAAUUUUCCAUUGUACUAUUUGCAUGCAUUGCUUCAAUCUUUACAUUGUUAACGUAGGCCAUUUAUGCUGCAUUUAUUUAUCUUGUAUCUUGUGCAGACUGCAGAAUAAUUUAAGGUUUUAUAAUACAUAAUGAAAGUGGAACAAUUCUUUUUUAUGGUUGUGAUAUUUAGGUUCAAAUUUCAAAUAAAGUUAACUACCUGCAGCAAAGAAUCUCAUUCUUGCUGGUGUCAAAUCUGUGACCUUGCAUGAUGUGGGGACUAUUGAGCUAUGGGAUCUGUCUAGCAAUUUUGUGUUUUCGGAAAAUGAUGUUGGGAAGAACAGAGCAUUGGCUUCUGUUGCUAAGUUGCAGGAGCUGAACAAUGCAGUUGUUGUGCAAAGCUUAACAUCUGAGCUGACAAAAGAGCAACUUGCUGAUUUCCAAGUACAAGCUUAAUCUCCAGGUUAUUGACAAUACAGGGUCAAUAACUUUUGUGAUGUUUGACCGUGUUGUUUUCCAAGUUGUUGGAUUGACUGCCCAGGAUAUGCUAGAUUCUAUGAACAAUGAUCCUAACUCAACUACCUAUCCAAGAGAGCUUGAUGUGUUUAUCAACAAGCGGAUGCUUUUCAAGGUGGAAGUGACUGAUGCUAAUUUAUACCGGAAUUGGCGUGGUUAUACUGUGAAAAAGAUGACUGCCGAUGAGGAAAUCAUCAAGCAAUUCACUACACUCCACGGGAUAAAUUUUCAGUUAGAUGAUGAUGCUAAUGACACCAGCUUCAAUCAUUUGGAGUGUGAGUUGGGAGACAAUGAUCAUCCGGCUGCACUUGAUGGAGUUGAAUCAAGCAAUAAUGCCCAUAUACCCGUUCCUCCUUCAUCUCAGACUCCAACUAGCAAGCUAAGUGGCAAACAGGGGCCUGCUAUUGCUGUGGUCGAUGCUUCUUCCUCUGAUAAGCCUAUUGUGCAGAGGACUAUAGAUCUUGAUGGGGAUGAUGCGACUCCAGCUGGUACCAUUGGUCCAUCAACAGACAAUCCAAUUGAUUAAGUCCACAUUAUCACUCCAAAGGAUGACAACUUUCCCUGUGUCAAGACUGGUUGUUCUAAGUGAUUGUGGCUGUCAUGGUGUUUUCCUUUGUUCAUGAUAAGUGUAUUUGGUCUUAGUUUCCUGUCUAUUUGUCUUGGUGUUGCUGUUUGUCUACAUGUUUUGUAUCUUUUGAUGUUUUAUGUUCUACUAUCUAAUGUUUAGUGAAUGCUUUAUAUAAGCAUCCUUUUAUGUACUAUGUACCUGUUCCACAUAAUAAAUGGAAUCCAUCAUGUAGUUA